CGCGAAGAACCUUACCGGGCCUUGUACACACCGAGCCUUGUACACACCGGGUCUUGUAUACACCGAAUCGGGCUAGAGAUAGUCUUUCCCUCUGUGGCUGGUGUACAGGUGGUGCAUGGUUGUCGUCAGCUCGUGUCGUGAGAUGUUGGGUUAAGUCCCGCAACGAGCGCAACCCUUGUCUUAUGUUGCCAGCAUUUGGUUGGGGACUCAUGAGAGACUGCCGGGGUCAACUCGGUGGAAGGUGGGGAUGACGUCAAAUCAUCAUGCCCCUUAUGUCCAGGGCUUCACACAUGCUACAAUGGUCGGUACAACGCGCAGCGACACUGUGAGGUGGAGCGAAUCGCUGAAAGCCGGCCUUAGUUCGGAUUGGGGUCUGCAACUCGACCCCAUGAAGUCGGAGUCGCUAGUAAUCGCAGACCAGAAAUCCGUGCGCUCUACGUAAGUUCUUCGCGUUUCCCCCGUGC
rnacentral:rRNA from 1 species